AUCCUACUUAAUUAAAGUACAACUCAGCCAUUCUAGAUGUCCAUUAUACUAGGCAAUAUUGGUCUCUUUAUUUUAAAAUUAUUAAUAUUAUUAGUUAAGAUUUUUUAAAUUAUCUGUGCCAGUGUAGGUAGUGGCAAUAAUAAAGAAGCUUUCGUUGGUAGCGAUGCAACUACCUAAAAAAUUCUAAAUUCUCCUUAUAUUUUUCAGGUAGUUGCAUCUGUACCAACGAAAGCAUGUUCAGACAAGGAAUACUCUAUAAUAAUAAUAAUAAUAAUAAUAAUAACGAUUUAUUCAACAGAUCCAUACAUAUGGCUCUUCCCUGUUAAAAUACUAAUUAAAUACUAUAUUCUAUAACUAUGGACUAUAACGUUUAAGUGUUGAAAUUAGAUAAAAUCGAUNNNNNNNNNNNNNNNNNNNNCUAGUUUUGGCGUGCUCUUUCGAAUAAAAGUUCUUUGGUUAAUUUUAAAAAUACUUUGUAAUUAGUACAAUUCCUGAUGUUCUCAGGUAAGGAAUUAAAAAGUUUCGCAGCACUAUGUUGAAACGUUCCAGUUUCUUUUGGCACGAGCGCAGUUCUCGGACGCAAGUUUGUCGUUCUAGCUUUAGAUACUCUGGCCACUCUGGGAAAUACAUGGCUUUGAAACUCGAUUUCAGGAUGUUGAGGUCUCUUCUUUCAUUAACUGGAAGCCAUCCAACUUCCAGGAUAUCCUUUUGAUCUUUAACAUAUCGACCCAAGACAAAACUAGCAGUUGCAAAUUGAACUUUCUGUAAGCGCCUUGAUAGAAACUGCGGGAGUGGAUAGAAAACAC
rnacentral:lncRNA from 1 species